AAGUCGUAACAAGGUUUCCGUAGGUGAACCUGCGGAAGGAUCAUUAGCGAGAGCCUGCCGCAGACUCGUGCGAGUCUGUGCGCAAGCGCGCCAUCCUUGUGUUGUGUGUGACGUGUUGUGUGCGCAGCAGCACUGCCCGUGUGGCGGUGGCGUCUGCGCAUGCGCAUUUUUUUCACUCCAUUUCAUCGCAUUUAUUCUAAUUAAUGCUGCUCGCAUGAGCACAAACAACCGAAAACUGCCAGCAAUGGAUCACUCGGUUCUC
rnacentral:misc_RNA from 1 species